GUGGACGUUGGGGCGUGGAAGUACGGGCUGUUGGAUGCGUGGUUUCGGCUUCGUGCUGGCGCUGCCGUGUUCCUUCGACUUUUCCACACACCCCCGUCCGUGACAAGCCUCCUCGCUCGGGUACAUAACGGGAAUCGGUCAACGGAGUGUAGUUGUCUGGGCUGUGCGUUGCGUCACAUGUGGGGGGUGUUCACGCGCCCUCUUCGAUGCGGCGUGCUUUCUGGAUGCUGCGUCAAGCUCCAUCGGUUUCACGGUCACCUUGAGUAAAUCAGAGUGCUCAAAGCAGUCGUAGGGGCCUUGCGCCCUGUGAACAGUCUUGACGGACUGACUUGGUUUUGCAUGGUAUGUCGGAAGACGACGUCGUGUGCUGGCUCAGAGGAUAAAUCAGUGGUGCAAGCCAGCCUCGACGUAAUGAUUAAAAGGGACGGUCGAGGGCAUUGGUAUUGCGAGGCGAGAGGUGAAAUUCUGUGACCCCCGCAAGACCUCCUGAAGCGAAAGCGUCUGCCAAGGACGUUUUCAUUAAUCAUGAACGAAAGUUAGAGGAUCGAAGGCGAUCAGAUACCGCCCUAGUUCUAACCCUAAACGAUGCCAACCAUCAAUCCGCGCGUAGCACCCUUCUUAACGGGCUCGGCGGGCAGCUCCCCACUCACGGGAAACCAGAGCCUCUGGGUUCCGGGGGGAGUCUGGUUGCAAAGCUGAAACUUAAAGGAAUUGACGGAAAGGCACCACCAGGCGUGGAGCCUGCGGCUUAAUUUGACUCAACACGGGCCAUCUCACCAGGCCAGCACUCUUGUACGAUUGACAGAUUGAGAGCUCUUUCUCGAUUCAGUGGAUGGUGGUGCAUGGCCGUUCUUAGUUGGUGGAGUGAUCUGUCUGGUUAAUUCCGAUAACGAACGAGACUCUCCCCUGCUAACUAGUCGGUUGGAUCUUGAUCAGUGGGUUGCGUGCCGAGUAACUCUCGCUGCGUGAUGUGUGUGCGCGUGUGGUCGUGUUCGGGGCAACCUGCGCGAUUCGCAUGUGUGUGCGCUCACGUCAUGUGUUGGACGCCUUGGAUCACACUGCACCCCAAGUCCGCCGCUUAUGCUAUAACUCUUCUUAGAGGGAUUCACGGCACUGAAGCCGUAAGAGACUGAGAGCAAUAACAGGUCUGUGAUGCCCUUAGAUGCUCUGGGCCGCACGCGCGCUACAAUGCCGGGCACAGCAGGUGUUUCUCCAGCUCCGACAGGAGCGGGUAACCCUCUGAAAGCCAGUGUUUUUUUGCAAGUGCUUCCUCCCUCGUGGAGUUGCACAGAGGCGUGCUUGGGCCUGGGACUUGCAAUUCUUUCCCACCAACGAGGAAUGCCUAGUAGCGGCGGGUCACUGAGCCCGCUGUGACUCAGUCCCUGCCCUUUGUACACACCGCCCGUCGCUACUACCGAUUGGGUGUACCAGUGAGAGCCUUGGACUGGCGUCCGUUGUUGC
rnacentral:rRNA from 1 species